AUACUUACCUGAUGGGGAGAGGCCAUGAUCACAAAGAAGGUUUUCCCAGGGCGAGGCUCACCUAUUGCACUCCGGAUGUGCUGACCCCUGCGAUUUCCCCAAAUGUGGGAUACUCGACUGUGUACUGUGGUAGUGGGGACUGCGUUCGCGCUCUCCCCU